rnacentral:lncRNA from 10 species
AGCCUACAGGUGUGUCUUCGAGAGAUAAGGUAAACUACCCUGAGGGCCAUGGGAGAGAUCACUUCUGGUUAAGACCUCGAUCUAGAGGCAUUCCUAUAAUACAAACAUUUUGAUAAAAUCUGUCCUAAGCUUUUCGGUCAUGUAAGAGCCAUCUUACAGUUUUGAAGCCGGUGAAACUGGCAGGGCUGGAGGUGGCUGGGAAAGG